AAAUUUUCAGUAAUGACCUACUUCAUUAUAGAUUUCAUAUGCAAAAAUUCACUUUAUAUACUAAUCUUGCUGGUUGCAUCUGGUGGCUGCACAUGUUCAAGAACUGUUUUUUCAGACCUUAUUGUACACCUAAUUCUAAGUCCCUUGAGAUGUUAUCUUCCUCAACAGCUUGGUGAACAAAUAUUUGUAAACCUCCUUCCAAAUGAAGUGUUUUUCAGAAAGGUGGAAGUGGUAAGAAACCGUUAAAACAGUGGUUAAGAAGAGUUUUAGCUACCAUAUUAUUGGCUGGGGACUGGACAAGAUUCUCCUUUGAUCUGCGUCAUUCUUUUGUCUGGAAGGGUUGUGGUUGAGUGACUUAUGGCACUUCAUUCCCAGACCUGUGAGUUGAUCAUGCUUCCAAUCUCUGCCAGCAAAAGAACUAAAAAGACUGGUUUUCCCACGCAACUAUCCAGAGCUUCCACUAAGCCCGCCGCUGGAGUAACACUUAUAUCACAUAACAUGCUUUUGGUAGCUGCCCCACCCGGGUCUUUACCAGUCUGCCGGUAGGACCUUUGAGUAAAUGCUUGUAUUUUUUUCUCCGAAGUAAGUAAUUAGAGAGAAAGCAAAUCAGCAGAUAAUUUAAGCAAGUAACUACUGUAUUGCAAAAUGAUUACAUUGCAUGUUUCAAGCUUGAGAUUUAGGGGACACAAUGUGGCAUUGUGCAUGGGGCACUGGGCUGAGAGUCAGUAGACGAAGAUUCUAAUCCCAACUCUGUUACUAACAUGAUCUAUUACCUUAGGCAAGACACGUACCUCUGUAUGCCUCUCUUAUCCCUCCCAGGCUUUGUCUGUCUUCUCAUUAGACUAGAAGAUCUUUGAGAUAGGGACUGUCAUUUACUUUGUGUCUGUCCAGUGCUAGCACAUUGGAACCCAAAUCUCAGAUCUCUAGGCACUACCGCAAUACAAAUCUUUGGCUAUCGCCUUCCUUAUAUUUACCACAGUGUAUAGAAGCCAGUUCGGUCUCUAAAAGUAAACCGCAAAACAAAUGGUAAAAAUAUGCCACGGUAGUUCAUACCAUAUUCCUGGAAAAUAAAAAUGAUGGAAAAAUGUGAAGGAUUAAUUUCUAUAAACUGUAGAAGUAAUAAGCAGAAAGAGUUUAAACUGAAAAUUCUGAUUUGUAGUGAAAGGCAAUGACAAACUGUUACUUUUUGUAUGUAUGUCUUGUAACAAUAUUUAAUAAACGGUGUUUUCUUUAAA